rnacentral:rRNA from 1 species
AGAGUUUGAUCAUGGCUCAGGAUGAACGCUAGCGGCAGGCUUAAUACAUGCAAGUCGUGGGGCAGCAUGACUGUAGCAAUACAGUUGAUGGCGACCGGCAAACGGGUGCGGAACACGUACACAACCUUCCUUUUAGUGGAGAAUAGCCCAGGGAAACUUGGAUUAAUACUCCGUAACAUAUAGAAGUGGCAUCACUUUUAUAUUAUAGCAGCAAUGCGCUAGAAGAUGGGUGUGCGGCUGAUUAGAUAGUUGGCGGGGUAACGGCCCACCAAGUCGACGAUCAGUAACUGGUGUGAGAGCACGACCAGUCACACGGGCACUGAGACACGGGCCCGACUCCUACGGGAGGCAGCAGUAAGGAAUAUUGGUCAAUGGACGCAAGUCUGAACCAGCCAUGCCGCGUGGAGGAUGAAGGUCCUCUGGAUUGUAAACUUCUUUUAUCUGGGAAGAAAUCCACUUUUCUAAGGUGGUUGACGGUACCAGAUGAAUAAGCACCGGCUAACUCCGUGCCAGCAGCCGCGGUA